AGAUUAAGUUAUUAAGGGCGCACGGUGGAUGCCUUGGCACUAGAAGCCGAUGAAGGACGUUACUAAUGACGAUAUGCUUUGGGGAGCUGUAAGUAAGCUUUGAUCCAGAGAUUUCCGAAUGGGGAAACCCAGCAUGAGUUAUGUCAUGUUAUCGAUAUGUGAAUACAUAGCAUAUCAGAAGGCACACCCGGAGAACUGAAACAUCUUAGUACCCGGAGGAAGAGAAAGAAAAUUCGAUUCCCUUAGUAGCGGCGAGCGAAACGGGAAGAGCCCAAACCAACAAGCUUGCUUGUUGGGGUUGUAGGACACUCUAUACGGAGUUACAAAGGACGACAUUAGACGAAUCAUCUGGAAAGAUGAAUCAAAGAAGGUAAUAAUCCUGUAGUCGAAAAUGUUGUCUCUCUUGAGUGGAUCCUGAGUACGACGGAGCACGUGAAAUUCCGUCGGAAUCUGGGAGGACCAUCUCCUAAGGCUAAAUACUCUCUAGUGACCGAUAGUGAACCAGUACCGUGAGGGAAAGGUGAAAAGCACCCCGGAAGGGGAGUGAAAUAGAACCUGAAACCGUGUGCUUACAAGUAGUCAGAGCCCGUUAAUGGGUGAUGGCGUGCCUUUUGUAGAAUGAACCGGCGAGUUACGAUUUGAUGCAAGGUUAAGCAGUAAAUGUGGAGCCGUAGCGAAAGCGAGUCUGAAUAGGGCGUUUAGUAUUUGGUCGUAGACCCGAAACCAGGUGAUCUACCCUUGGUCAGGUUGAAGUUCAGGUAACACUGAAUGGAGGACCGAACCGACUUACGUUGAAAAGUGAGCGGAUGAACUGAGGGUAGCGGAGAAAUUCCAAUCGAACCUGGAGAUAGCUGGUUCUCUCCGAAAUAGCUUUAGGGCUAGCCUCAAGUGAUGAUUAUUGGAGGUAGAGCACUGUUUGGACGAGGGGCCCCUCUCGGGUUACCGAAUUCAGACAAACUCCGAAUGCCAAUUAAUUUAACUUGGGAGUCAGAACAUGGGUGAUAAGGUCCGUGUUCGAAAGGGAAACAGCCCAGACCACCAGCUAAGGUCCCAAAAUAUAUGUUAAGUGGAAAAGGAUGUGGCGUUGCCCAGACAACUAGGAUGUUGGCUUAGAAGCAGCCAUCAUUUAAAGAGUGCGUAAUAGCUCACUAGUCGAGUGACACUGCGCCGAAAAUGUACCGGGGCUAAACAUAUUACCGAAGCUGUGGAUUGUCCUUUGGACAAUGGUAGGAGAGCGUUCUAAGGGCGUUGAAGCAUGAUCGUAAGGACAUGUGGAGCGCUUAGAAGUGAGAAUGCCGGUGUGAGUAGCGAAAGACGGGUGAGAAUCCCGUCCACCGAUUGACUAAGGUUUCCAGAGGAAGGCUCGUCCGCUCUGGGUUAGUCGGGUCCUAAGCUGAGGCCGACAGGCGUAGGCGAUGGAUAACAGGUUGAUAUUCCUGUACCACCUAUAAUCGUUUUAAUCGAUGGGGGGACGCAGUAGGAUAGGCGAAGCGUGCGAUUGGAUUGCACGUCUAAGCAGUAAGGCUGAGUAUUAGGCAAAUCCGGUACUCAUUAAGGCUGAGCUGUGAUGGGGAGAAGACAUUGUGUCUUCGAGUCGUUGAUUUCACACUGCCGAGAAAAGCCUCUAGAUAGAAAAUAGGUGCCCGUACCGCAAACCGACACAGGUAGUCAAGAUGAGAAUUCUAAGGUGAGCGAGCGAACUCUCGUUAAGGAACUCGGCAAAAUGACCCCGUAACUUCGGGAGAAGGGGUGCUCUUUAGGGUUAACGCCCAGAAGAGCCGCAGUGAAUAGGCCCAAGCGACUGUUUAUCAAAAACACAGGUCUCUGCUAAACCGUAAGGUGAUGUAUAGGGGCUGACGCCUGCCCGGUGCUGGAAGGUUAAGAGGAGUGGUUAGCUUCUGCGAAGCUACGAAUCGAAGCCCCAGUAAACGGCGGCCGUAACUAUAACGGUCCUAAGGUAGCGAAAUUCCUUGUCGGGUAAGUUCCGACCCGCACGAAAGGCGUAACGAUUUGGGCACUGUCUCAACGAGAGACUCGGUGAAAUCAUAGUACCUGUGAAGAUGCAGGUUACCCGCGACAGGACGGAAAGACCCCGUGGAGCUUUACUGUAGCCUGAUAUUGAAAUUCGGCACAGCUUGUACAGGAUAGGUAGGAGCCUUUGAAACGUGAGCGCUAGCUUACGUGGAGGCGCUGGUGGGAUACUACCCUAGCUGUGUUGGCUUUCUAACCCGCACCACUUAUCGUGGUGGGAGACAGUGUCAGGCGGGCAGUUUGACUGGGGCGGUCGCCUCCUAAAAGGUAACGGAGGCGCUCAAAGGUUCCCUCAGAAUGGUUGGAAAUCAUUCAUAGAGUGUAAAGGCAUAAGGGAGCUUGACUGCGAGACCUACAAGUCGAGCAGGGUCGAAAGACGGACUUAGUGAUCCGGUGGUUCCGCAUGGAAGGGCCAUCGCUCAACGGAUAAAAGCUACCCCGGGGAUAACAGGCUUAUCUCCCCCAAGAGUUCACAUCGACGGGGAGGUUUGGCACCUCGAUGUCGGCUCAUCGCAUCCUGGGGCUGUAGUCGGUCCCAAGGGUUGGGCUGUUCGCCCAUUAAAGCGGUACGCGAGCUGGGUUCAGAACGUCGUGAGACAGUUCGGUCCCUAUCCGUCGUGGGCGUAGGAAAUUUGAGAGGAGCUGUCCUUAGUACGAGAGGACCGGGAUGGACAUACCUCUGGUGUACCAGUUGUCGUGCCAACGGCAUAGCUGGGUAGCUAUGUGUGGACGGGAUAAGUGCUGAAAGCAUCUAAGCAUGAAGCCCCCCUCAAGAUGAGAUUUCCCAACUUCGGUUAUAAGAUCCCUCAAAGAUGAUGAGGUUAAUAGGUUCGAGGUGGAAGCAUGGUGACAUGUGGAGCUGACGAAUACUAAUCGAUCGAAGACUUAAUCAAAUU
rnacentral:rRNA from 1 species